CAGAUGUAGUUUAAUGGUAGAACCUCAGCCUUCCAAGCUGACUACGUGGGUUCGAUUCCCAUCAUCUG
rnacentral:tRNA from 2 species